rnacentral:rRNA from 1 species
GGGUUGUGAGGUUAAGCGACUAAGCGUACACGGUGGAUGCCCUGGCAGUCAGAGGCGAUGAAGGACGUGCUAAUCUGCGAUAAGCGUCGGUGAGGUGAUAUGAACCGUUAUAACCGGCGAUUUCCGAAUGGGGAAACCCAGUGUGUUUCGACACACUAUCAUUAACUGAAUCCAUAGGUUAAUGAGGCGAACCGGGGGAACUGAAACAUCUAAGUACCCCGAGGAAAAGAAAUCAACCGAGAUUCCCCCAGUAGCGGCGAGCGAACGGGGAGGAGCCCAGAGCCUGAAUCAGUGUGUGUGUUAGUGGAAGCGUCUGGAAAGGCGCGCGAUACAGGGUGACAGCCCCGUACACAAAAAUGCACAUGCUGUGAGCUCGAUGAGUAGGGCGGGACACGUGGUAUCCUGUCUGAAUAUGGGGGGACCAUCCUCCAAGGCUAAAUACUCCUGACUGACCGAUAGUGAACCAGUACCGUGAGGGAAAGGCGAAAAGAACCCCGGCGAGGGGAGUGAAAAAGAACCUGAAACCGUGUACGUACAAGCAGUGGGAGCCUCUUAAUGGGGUGACUGCGUACCUUUUGUAUAAUGGGUCAGCGACUUAUAUUCUGUAGCAAGGUUAACCGAAUAGGGGAGCCGAAGGGAAACCGAGUCUUAACUGGGCGUUAAGUUGCAGGGUAUAGACCCGAAACCCGGUGAUCUAGCCAUGGGCAGGUUGAAGGUUGGGUAACACUAACUGGAGGACCGAACCGACUAAUGUUGAAAAAUUAGCGGAUGACUUGUGGCUGGGGGUGAAAGGCCAAUCAAACCGGGAGAUAGCUGGUUCUCCCCGAAAGCUAUUUAGGUAGCGCCUCGUGAAUUCAUCUCCGGGGGUAGAGCACUGUUUCGGCAAGGGGGUCAUCCCGACUUACCAACCCGAUGCAAACUGCGAAUACCGGAGAAUGUUAUCACGGGAGACACACGGCGGGUGCUAACGUCCGUCGUGAAGAGGGAAACAACCCAGACCGCCAGCUAAGGUCCCAAAGUCAUGGUUAAGUGGGAAACGAUGUGGGAAGGCCCAGACAGCCAGGAUGUUGGCUUAGAAGCAGCCAUCAUUUAAAGAAAGCGUAAUAGCUCACUGGUCGAGUCGGCCUGCGCGGAAGAUGUAACGGGGCUAAACCAUGCACCGAAGCUGCGGCAGCGACACUAUGUGUUGUUGGGUAGGGGAGCGUUCUGUAAGCCUGUGAAGGUGGCCUGUGAGGGUUGCUGGAGGUAUCAGAAGUGCGAAUGCUGACAUAAGUAACGAUAAAGCGGGUGAAAAGCCCGCUCGCCGGAAGACCAAGGGUUCCUGUCCAACGUUAAUCGGGGCAGGGUGAGUCGACCCCUAAGGCGAGGCCGAAAGGCGUAGUCGAUGGGAAACAGGUUAAUAUUCCUGUACUUGGUGUUACUGCGAAGGGGGGACGGAGAAGGCUAUGU